rnacentral:rRNA from 1 species
CACGUAGGGUGCGAGCGUUGUCCGGAAUUAUUGGGCGUAAAGGGCGCGUAGGCGGCUGCGGAUAAGUCAAAGGUGAAAUCCCUCGGCUCAACUGAGGAACUGCCUUUGAAACUGUCGUGCUUGAGUCCGGGAGGGGGUAGCGGAAUUCCCAGUGUAGCGGUGAAAUGCGUAGAUAUUGGAGGAACACCAGUGGCGAAGGCGGCUACCUGGACCGGUUCUGACGCUGAUGCGCGAAAGCGUGGGUAGCAAACAGG